rnacentral:lncRNA from 10 species
CACUUUCAUUAAUAUCCAGAUCUCUUUCUCCAGAUGUCUGUACAGAGCUGGCUCCCCAGUGCUGGGCCUGGGUCAAAGACCAGUGUUCCUGGUGGGCUCCUCCCUCCCAGAAAGCAGGCAGAGUGAUGGCUGCUCUGGGAUGAGCCCUGAGUGAGGCAUGGAGCUUUCUAACUUUGGGUGAAUCUGACUUUCCACUGUGGCAGCCCUCAAUGACAGCUAUGCCCCGCAACACUGCCUGAAGCCUGCAGAAUCCAGGCUUUGGGGUUCACACCCUCACGAUAACCUGCCUGGCACAGGGCAUCUUUCCCAGUGCACCAAUUCCCUGUCUGAUGGAGAGGACAUUCUUCUGCAAAAGGGAGUGCUGGUCCAGCAGCAGAGGCAGCUUCAUCCUGGGGCCUACAGAGUGUGCUGACCCUCUUGCCUAACAAGUCCACAAGCAGUGAGCAGGGAGAAAAAAUUCUUAUUCCUUUGUCGUUCUGAGAGUUCCCCCAGUGACGUCCAUUUUCUUCCCCCUCCCACCUGGCUCUGACUGUGAUCUUCCCCACUAUCUCAGGGCGCGUAUUGGUGGGGGCAUGACUGGCAUGCCAAGAUACUCCUUGGUCUCUUCAUGAGCUCCAAGGGGCCUUGAAUCCUUCUUUGUGACCGGUGGUCUACCAUCUGAUGCUAAUCCACACUGCUGUCUUUCUGCCUGCCUUCCUCCCUCCCGGCUCCCUCCCUCUCUCCUUCCGGUCUUCCACACAUAUUUACUGAGCAUCUACUAUGUUCCAGGUGCUUUGGAUACAUCGGAGGACAAAACAGACAGAGAUGCUUGCCUUUUUUGGCUUGUAUUCUUGUUGAGAGAAAAGAGACAAUAAAUGGUAGACCUAAUUUAAUCCUAAAUUAUGGGGUGCUAUGGCUUGGAUGUUUGUCCCUUCCAAACCUCAUGUUGAAAUUUGAUCCCAAAGUUGAAGGUGGAGCCAAAUGUGAGGUGUUUGGGUCAUGAGGGCAGGUCCUUCAAGAAGAGGUCAAUGUUCUCCCUCCCAGAUGAGUGAGUUCUUACUCUCUUCGUUUACACAAGAGCUGGUUGUUGAAGAGCCUGGCACCUCCCCUUCUCUCUUGCUUCCUUUCUCACCAAGAGAUCUCUGCAAAGGCUGGCUCCCCUUUGCCUUCUGCCAUGAGUGGAAGCAGCCAAAGCCCCUCACCAGAUGCAGACGUGCAAUUUCAAACUUUCCAGCCUUCAGAAUUGUGAGCUAAAUAAACUUCUUCUCUUUAUAAAUUGCCCAGUCUCAGGUGUUCUGUUAUAGCAACACAAACUAAGACACAUGGUAUGUUGGCAGGUGACAAGCACUGGGGAAAAAGUAAUGAAGAGGAAUAGGGCAGGGGAGCCUGGCAGUGCUGGGAUGAUGGACUUGGGUGAUAGGAGACAGA